AGAGCCUGAUCUCGGGAGGGGCACUUGUAGAUUAUUUAAAGAAAUAAUCCAGACACAAUAACCACUACAGCUCAGUGUAGUGGUUAUGGUGUCAAUAGUGCCAGGACCCCCUCCCACAGUAAGUAGUCAAACCGUUUAAGAACAGUUUGACAACUUACCUGAGAUCUGCUGGGAAAUGGGGCUGUAGUAGGGCAUAGGAGCAGUGGUGUGUGUGAGUGAAGGUUGUAGUGUGUGAGUGAGGGCGGCAGUGUAUGUCAGGGAUGCAGUGUAUGUGUG